rnacentral:rRNA from 1 species
CCCUUAGAUGUUCUGGGCCGCACGCGCGCUACACUGAUGCAUUCAACGAGUUUCUUCCUGGUCCGAGAGGAAUGGGUAACCUUUUGAAAGUGCAUCGUGAUAGGGGUAGACUAUUGCAAUUAUUGGUCUUCAACGAGGAAUUCCUAGUAGACGUAGUUCAUCAGACUGCAUCGAUUACGUCCCUGCCCUUUGUACACACCGCCCGUCGCUCCUACCGAUUGAAUGCUCAGGUGAGCCAUUCGGACUUUCAUCAUGCUGGUUUCCAGUUUUGAUGAAGGAAAGUCUUGCGAACCUUAUCAUUUAGAGGAAGGUGAAGUCGUAACA